rnacentral:rRNA from 1 species
GAUGAACGCUGGCGGCGUGCCUAAUACAUGCAAGUCGAGCGAACAGACGAGGAGCUUGCUCCUCUGACGUUAGCGGCGGACGGGUGAGUAACACGUGGAUAACCUACCUAUAAGACUGGGAUAACUUCGGGAAACCGGAGCUAAUACCGGAUAAUAUAUUGAACCGCAUGGUUCAAUAGUGAAAGACGGUUUUGCUGUCACUUAUAGAUGGAUCCGCGCCGCAUUAGCUAGUUGGUAAGGUAACGGCUUACCAAGGCGACGAUGCGUAGCCGACCUGAGAGGGUGAUCGGCCACACUGGAACUGAGACACGGUCCAGACUCCUACGGGAGGCAGCAGUGGGGAAUAUUGCACAAUGGGCGCAAGCCUGAUGCAGCCAUGCCGCGUGUAUGAAGAAGGCCUUCGGGUUGUAAAGUACUUUCAGCGGGGAGGAAGGGAGUAAAGUUAAUACCUUUGCUCAUUGACGUUACCCGCAGAAGAAGCACCGGCUAACUCCGUG